rnacentral:hammerhead_ribozyme from 1 species
ACUCAUCAGAUGAGUACCAAAUAGGACGAAACGCGCGUCCUGGAU